UACGUAGGAGGCGAGCGUUGUCCGGAGUUACUGGGCGUAAAGGGUGCGCAGGCGGCGUUCCGCGUGGCGAGAUGAAAUCUCCUGGCUUACCUGGGGAGGGUGGUCGCCAGACGGGGAGCGCUUGAGGGUCGGAGAGGGGCGUGGAAUUCCGGGUGGGAGCGGUGGAAAUGCGUAGAGAUCCGGAGGAACACCGACGGCGUAGGGCAGCGCCCCUGGACGACACCUGACCGCUGAGGCACGAAAAGCUGGGGGGGAGCGGAACAGG
rnacentral:rRNA from 1 species